UACGAGAGGCCCAAACGUUAUUCGGAAUUACUGGGCUUAAAGAGUUCGUAGGCGGCAUGACAAGUAGGGUGUGAAAGCCCUCGGCUCAACCGAGGAAUUGCGCUCUAAACUGUCGUGCUUGAGGAACCUAGAGGUGAGCAGAACUGAUGGUGGAGCGGUGAAAUGCGUUGAUAUCAUCAGGAAUACCGGAGGCGAAGGCGGCUCACUGGGAGUUUUCUGACGCUGAGGAACGAAAGCCAGGGGAGCGAACCGGG
rnacentral:rRNA from 1 species